rfam:Trichobilharzia regenti genome assembly, scaffold: TRE_scaffold0089011
GUACUGCUGAAGAGUCCCAAACUAUGACGGAGGAAACAGUUGUCCAGUAC